UGUCAGUUGUAGAUUUCAAUGAGAAGACUGACAGUGAAAUUCCAUGCAAUACCAACAAUGAUGUUGCCGACUAUGUAUCAGUUGAGGCAAACCUUGAAGAACCGGUAGUUGAAGAAAAACCUGAAGAAACAACGGUUGAGAAGAAACCUGAAGAACCAUCAAUUGAGGAGAAACGUGAAACACCAGCAUUUGAGAAGAAACCUGAAGAACCAAUAAUUGAGGAGAAACCUGAAGAACAAACAAUUGAAGAGGAGAAACAUGAAAGGAUAACUCUCCUGGAAAAGGUGAGGAUCAAGCAUUGUCACAAAGUUUAUCCAUCUUGUUAGUCGUGUAUACGAUACAAUUUACAUAUGCUUACCUACUGAAAGACUAAGUAAGACUUUAAAGUUCUUCUUGCAGAGUAUUCCAGUUGUAGUCCCGAACGACAAAACUGAAAGUAAAACUCCAAGCAUUACAAACAAUAAUGCUGCUCACUUUUCAGAAGUUGAGGAAAACCCUGAAGAACCUGCAGUAAAAGAAAAAACUGAAAAACCAGUUCUUGAAGAGAAACCUGAAGAACCAACAGUUGAAGAGAAAUCUGAAGAACCAGUUGAGGAGAAACCUGAAGAACCAACAGCUGAAGAGAAACCUGAAGAACCAGCAACUAAAGAAAAACAAGUGCUAGUAGGGGAGGAAACAGCUGAAGAACUAGCGCUUGAAGAGAAACCUGAAGAACUAACGAUUGAACAGACAGAUGAAGAACUAGUUGUUGAAGAUAAAACUGAAAAACCACCAAAUAAAGAGGAGAGACCUGAAACGGUAACUCUCCUUUAGCAGUGUCACAGAGUUUAUCCAUCCUAUUAGUUCUAUAUGUGCAACGAAUUCAUAUCUGUUUAUCUAUUGAAAUACUAAGUGAAAAUUCAAAUUUUCUUGCAGAAUUUGCCCAUUGCAGACUCAAAGGACCAGACUGACAAUGCAAUUCCAUGCGAUACCAACAAUGAUAUUGCUGACUAUGCAACAGUUGAGGAAAAACCUGAAGAAACAGUAGUUGAAGAAAAACAUGAAGAACCUGCAAUUGAAAAGAAAUUUGAAGAAUCAACAGUUAUGGAGAAACCUGAAGAACCAGCAGUGGAAGAAAAACCUGAAGAACCAACAGUUAAAGAGGAACCUGAAAAAUCAGUGAUGGAAGAGAAACCUGAAGAACCAAUUGUUGAGGAGAAACUUGAAGAACCAACUGUUGAAGAGAAACCUGAAAAAUCACUGAUUGAAGAAACACCUGAAGAACCAAUAUGGGAAGAAACACCUAAAGAACUAGCAUUUGAAGAGAAACCAGAAGAACCAGCAGUUGAAGAGGAGAAACCUGAAAAGGUAACUCUUUUGGAAGAGGUGAGUAUCAAGCAUUAGCACAUAGUUUAUCCAUCAUGUUAUUUCUGUAUGUGCAUCGAUUCACAUCUGCUUAUCUAUUGAAAGUCUAAAUGAGACUUUAAAUUCUUCUUGCAGAAUAUACCAGCUGUAGAUUUCAACGACAAGACUGACCGUGAAAUUCCAUGCGAUACCAACAAUGAUAUUGCUGACUAUGCAACAGUUGAGGAAAAACCUGAAGAACCGGUAGUUGAAGAAAAACAUGAAGAACCUGCAAUUGAAAAGAAAUUUGAAGAAUCAACGGUUAUGGAGAAACCUGAAAAACCAGUGGUUAAGGUACAACCUGAAGAACCAGCAGUGGAAGAAAAAGUUGAAGAACCAACAGUUAAUGAGGAACCUGAAAAAUCAGCGAUGGAAGAGAACCCUGAAGAAUCAAUUGUUGAGGAGAAACUUGAAGAACCAACUGUUGAAGAGAAACCUGAAAAAUCACUGAUUGAAGAAACACCUGAAGAACCAAUAUGGAAAGAAACACCUAAAGAACUAGCAUUUGAAGAGCAACCAGAAGAACCAGCAGUUGAAGAGGAGAAACCUGAAAAGGUAUCUCUUUUGGAAGAGGUGAGUAUCAAGCAUUAUCACAUAGUUUAUCCAUCCUGUUAUUUCUGUAUGUGCGACGAUUCACAUCUGCUUAUCUAUUGAAAGACUAAAUGAGACUUUAAAUUCUUCUUGCAGAAUAUGCCAGCUGUAGAUUUCAACGACAAGACUGACUGUGAAAUUCCAUGCAAUACCAACAAUGAUGUUGCUGAAUAUGUAGCAAUUGAGGAAAACCUUGAAGAACCAGCAGUUGAAGAAAAACAUGAAGAACCAACAGUUGAGGAGAAACCUGAAGAACUAGCAGUUGAAGAGAAACCCGAAAAACCAACAAUUGAGGAGAAACAUGAAGAACCAAUAGUUGAGAAGAAACCUGAAGAACCAGUAGUUGAGGAGAAACCAGAAGAACCACUAAUUGAAGAGGAGAAAUCUGAAAGGGUAACUUUCCUAGAAAAGGUGAGGAUCAAGCAUUGUCAAAAGGUUUAUCCAUCUUAUUAGUUGUGUAUGUGCGACGAUUCACAUCUGCUUACUUAUUGAAAGACUAAGUGAAACUUCAAAAUUCUUGCAGAGUAUGCUAGUUGUAGACUCGAACGACAAGACUGACAGUGAAAUUCCAUGCAAUACCAACAAAGAUGCUGCCCACUUUCCCGAAGUUGAGGCAAACCCUGAAGAACCAGCAGUUGAAGGAAAACCUAAAGAACCCGUUGAUGAAGAGAAACCAGAUGUACCAGUGGUUGAGAAACCUGAAAAACAAAUGGUUGAGGAGAAACUUGAAGAACCAAUGAUUGAGGAGAAAUCUGACGAACUAGUCGAGGAGAAAUCUCAACAACCAGCGGCUGAAAAGAAACCUGAAGAACCAGCAGCUAAAGAAUCACUUAAAGAGCUAGCAGGGGAGGAAACAACUGAAGAACUAGCACUUGAAGAGAAACUUAGAGAACCAACAGUUGAAGAACUAGUUCUUGAAGAUAAACCUGAAAACCCAGAAAAUGAAGAGGAUAAACUUGAAACAGUAACUCUCCAGGAAAAGGUAAGAAACAAGCAGUGUCACAGAGUUUAUCCAUCCUAUUAGCUCUACAUAUGCAAUGAAUUCACAUCUGUUUAUCCACUGAAAGACUAAGUGAAACUUUAAAUUUUUCUUGCAGAAUUUACCAAUUGCAGACUCAAACGACAAGACUGACAAUGCAACUCCCUGCAAUAACAACAAUGAUAUUGCUGACUCUGCAGCAGUUAAGGAAAAAACUGAAGAACCAGUAGUUGAGGAAAAACAUGAAGAACCGGCAACUGAAGAGAAAUCUGAAGAAUCAGAAUUUAUGAAAAAAACUGAAGAACCAGCGGUUGAGGUAAAACCUGAAGAACCAUCAGUGGAAGAGAAGCCUGAAGAACCAGCGGUUAGGAAAAAUCCUGAAGAACCAGCAGUUAAUGAGGAACCUGCAAAAUCAGCAACGGAAGAGAAACCUGAAGAACCAAUUGCUGAGGAGAAACUUGAAGAACCAACUCUUAAAGAGAAACCUGGAAAACCAGUAAUUGAAGAAACACCUGAAGAACCAACACUGGAAGUAACACCUAAAGAACAAGCAGAGAAACCUGAAGAACCAGUUGAAGAGGAAAAAACUGACAAGGUAACUCUUUUGGAAAAGGUGAGCAUCAAACACUGUCACAAAUUUUUGCCAUCAUAUUAGUUCUGUAUGUGCAACAAUUCACAUCUAAUUAUCCAUUGAAAGACUAAGUGAAACUUUAAUUCUUCUUGCAGAAUAUACCAGUUGUAGAUUUCAAUGAUACGACUGACAGUGAAAUUCCAUGCAAUACCAACGACGAUGUUGCUGAAGACGUAGCAGUUGAGGAAAACCUUGAAGAACCAUCAGUUGAGGAGAAACCUGAAGAAUUAGCGGUUGAAGAGAAACCUGAAAAACCAGCAAUUGAGGAGAAACGUGAAGAACCAAUAAUUGAGAAGAAACCUAAAGAACCAGCAGUUGAGGAGAAACCUGAAGAACAAACCGUUGAAGAGAGACUUGAAGAACCAACAAUUGAAGAUGAGAAACUUGAAGAACCAACAAAUGAAGAUGAGAAACUUGAAAGGGUAACUCUCCUAGGAAAG
rnacentral:lncRNA from 1 species